rnacentral:misc_RNA from 1 species
GAUGAAGAACGUAGCGAAAUGCGAUAAGUAGUGUGAAUUGCAGAAUUCAGUGAAUCAUCGAAUCUUUGAACGCACAUUGCGCCCUUUGGUAUUCCUUAGGGCAUGCCUGUUCGAGCGUCAUUUGAACCCUCAAGCUCAGCUUGGUGUUGGGUGUCUGUCCCCGCCUCCGCGGGGACUCGCCUCAAAAUCAUUGGCGGCCGGUACGUUGGCUUCGAGCGCAGCAGAAACGCGAACUCGAGGCCCGGCGGAUCGGCGACCAGAAGUCUCUUCUUCACAGUUUGACCUCGGAUCAGAUAGGGAUACCCGCUGAACUUAAGCAUAUCAAUAAGCGGAGGA